UCUUACCUCGGCAAAAUAAAAGAAGCGGCCUACAGUUUUCCUACCCAAGUGCGGUCGGCCUAAACAUGCUACUAGCGGUCAAUAAAAACUAGCAAUAACGAAAUAGAAAUAUUAUCACGUCACAUUAACCCAACUCUAUUUCCUUUCGAAUUCAAAUCCCACAGCUCCUUUUAUUCAACUUAACUCAUUAGUUCACUCUUUCAUUUAAUUGAUUCAUGAAGCAAUACAAAUUAAAUCACGUUAAAUAAGAUAAGCCCCAAAUUUUCGAUAAUGGUACAUACACAGAACUUCAUAUUACUUCAAAAAGAUAACAUAAUCAGAAAUAUAUCAACAAAAAAAAUCACAUAAUAAAAUUAAGGGAUUCAAGGGAAGAGAAAAGGGAUUGGACCUUUAAACUCAAUUAUUUGGUAGCACAAGACUGAAAAGCGAGUGACAAAAGCUAGACCAGACCUUAAUUGAACUAGGAACACUAUUGACCAAGAGACUCAAACGGGACACCUCAAAGAAUCGAAAAUCGAACUUGACUCAGAUUCGCACAUCCAUAUCUUUGAAAUUGUUGAACUCUUGAUCUGAAAUGGUAUUGUAAAUGGGUUUUGCGACUAGUUUUGAUAUGUACGUGGAUGGCAAAGCUUAGAGGUUCAUGGUGGUUAAAAAAACAAUUGAGUCACUGGGCAGUAGAAGGUGAAAGGGUUCGUGAAGGCGGCUCGAGAUGGGAGGAGUUGGUCGGUGGCUCUUUUUCUGGCGAAUUUUUGCCGGGGGAAGGCAGACUGGCGGCGACUCUAGGUCAUGGAGGAUUAAGGAUUGUGCUGAAGAAGAAGGGUUUGAAAGGUCUCCCGAAAGAGGAGAUAGGGUCAGCUCUUUUUUAAGGAAAUUAGGUUUUUGGUGGGUUUAAAGGGUAUUGGGCUUUGAUUUAGGAAAUUGGAUAGGGUCCAUGUCUUGUUGGGCCUUAAUUUUGGGCUAAGAAGACUAAAAAAAUAUAAAACUUACUCUUAAUUAAUUAAAAUAUACUAUUAAAAUAAAACUAAAUAUUUAAACACUAAAAAUAGCUUUAAAAAUGUGACGGAUCAAAAAUUACGUGCUUACUGCUUCCCCUCUUUGCUUGGAAACACGAAGUGUGUUUGAGCAAAGAAACAAGUAAGUGACUUAAUUGAUUUCAGACCCGACACUUAUUCAAAAAAAAUGUGGGUAAAAGAUUUUGACUGAGCCCUGGUAUUUGAGCUGCCUACAUAUCCUUGGCUAUAAAGGAAUUAGGCCACGUGUAAUUCAAAAGUGAGAAAAGCGAUGGAGUAUACCGAGGUGGAGAGCCGAUUGAGGUGCCGUCGAGGUUCCGGUCCGCGGUUCCUGCCAUUACAUCAUGAAUUGAAAGCAAAAAUUACAGCAAAAAUAAGAGAAAAAUACAAGAUCCUAUCUACUUCUUGUCUUGAAUCCUCCUUGAAUCUCCACUUGAUCCCUCAACAUGAAGCUUAAAAUUCCCCCCGUUUUUCAGGUGGGCAUCCUGCUGACUUGAAUUUGAAGAAAGCUGGAAAUUGACCCUAUUCUUCAGGUGGGCACCAUGUUGCUUGCACUUAAAUAAAAUUGAACUUGGAGUAGACUUGAGCUUGCAAACCUUGUCCUUCAGGCGGCUUGUGCUACUUCUGAUUUGACUUAAAGACUGGAGGUUGACCCUAUUCUUCAGGCGGGUUCCUGCUGCUUCUGACUUAAACUUGAAACUGAAAACUGACCCUGUUCUUCAGGUGGGCUCUUGCUGUGUUUGAUUUGGAUCUUGAAAACUGAAAAUUAACCUUGUUCUUCAUGCGGGCUCUUGAUACCUCUUGAACUUGAAAAUUGAAAGUUCACCCUGUUCUUCAGGCGGGCUCCUGAUGCCUCUUUGAAUUGAAAUUGUAAGCUAAAAAUUGACCAUGUUCUUCAUGAGAGAUCCUCCUGCUUGAUUUUGAACAUAAUUGAAAGUUGACCCUGUUCUCCAGGUGGAUGCCUGCAAUCAUAACAAAAUAGACAAAACAAAGAAAAUUUUCUGCCCCAGUUUGUACCGGGAACAUUUGUGAGUGUUAGUUGAAUCCCAUUUUCCAGGAGGGUCCUGAAAACUUAAAUCAAAUCCCAUUAUCCAGGAGGGUCCUGAAAACUUAAAUCAAAUCCCAUUAUCCAGGAGGGUCCUGGGAACUUAAAAUUAGUCUCAUUAUCUAGGAGGGUCUUGACAACUGAAAAUGAACUUAACUGAGCCAUGCUCUCUUCCUGGAAGAUCCCUACAGAAAGAAUAAAAUUCAAUGACCUUGAACCAUACUUUCCUUAUGGAGGAUCCCUGCAGAUCGAACAAAUUUUCUUGCCCCUGUUUCAAAUAAAUGAAAUCUUGUUAGUUUGAAAAUGUGGUUGUUAGUUUGUAGCAGUAUUGCUAAAUUUGUCCUCUUCUAUCACUGUCAUGCUUCAUUCUGAUUAGCUACUUCGGGAUAACAAAGAAUUGUUUGACCUUCUGAUGAAUCUUGACCACAUAACCCCUGAAUGACCCCAAACUAGGAAGUGUGUCUCCUAGGGAUGAACUCAAAUGACUCAAAUAGGAAGUGCAUCUCCUAGGGAUGAACUUAAAUGACCUAAACUAGGAAGUGUGUCUCCUAGGUUUGAGAUUGUGCUUGAGGAAAACUAUAACUAAGUCUGACUAACCUAACAAUUCACCCUAUUCUCCAAGGGGGACCCCUGAACUCGAGGAAAACUAAUGAUUAUCCAACUUACAAAAAUUGAAAAAUGAAAUUGACCCUAUUCUACAGGUGAGACCUAAAUUUAAGAAAAACUAAAGGUUAACAACUUAAGAAAACUAAAAACUGACCGUAUUUUCCAGGCGGGACCCCUGAACUAAAGAAAACUAAGGCUAACAACUUAAGGGAAUUAAAACUGAUACUAUUCUCCAGGCGGGACCCCUGAACUUUGAGAUUAACAACUUAAGAAAACUAAAAUUGACCAUAUUCUCUAGGCGGGACCCCUGAACUUAAGGAAUUCUAAAGAUUAAUAAUUUAAGGAAACUAAAACUAACCCUAUUCUCCAGGCGGGACCCCUGAACUUAAGGAAAGCUAAAAACUCUUCCGAAUAGGGAGAAUUCCUAGGAGGUACGGUUCUUCUCAACUAGGGAAAACACCUAGAAGGUAAUGGUCUUCUCAACUAGGGGAAUGCCUAGCAAGUAAAACCUUCUCAAACAGCCCUUGUGCUGACAAAGUUUGGGGCAUGGCACUUGAAAAAUUCAAGCUUCCAAGAUUUGAUUUGGACAUAGUCUUCGUCCCUGUUUUAAACAAAGAAAGCUUGUGAGUUUAAACAUGCUGGUUGGUUUAUGGUCUUGAUUUUGAGGGCGAUUGCUCCUACACUUACCAUUGUAACUUUGAUUUCAACUUGGGGACCUUGCUUGUUAUUGGCUAACCACUUUCUUGUCAAACCUUAUCAUAGAAAACACCUCUAAUUCGUUCAAGCCCCAAAUGGCUCUAUCUGUUGCAUUGUGUUCAUGAAUAGACAUUUUACUAAAUCUUUGCAUUUCACAUAAAUCCUAAAGCACGUCAAUUGUCACCAACCUCGUGUGCAUACUACUCUUUCCUGACUUAAGCCAUUUUGAUGUACUAGACAGACUUCGCUUUGUGCAAUUAGAAAGCUGGUAGCAAAUUUUGAAGUCUUUACUUGUUCUGAGAAAACAGAAUCAAGAUGACUUAAACAAAGCAAGAAGAAUAAAGUUAAGGGAACAACAGAAAGAGAUGACAUCUAACAAGAAAAUCACCAAGUAGAAACUUAUUGGAUGUGGAUACCAACUUUAAUGACCAUGACACGCAUUUUGGAUUACGUGGCCUAAUUUGUACAGUAAGUUUAAUGUUCUAAUCUUGUUAUACCUCUAAGCCAUGAAACUGGGCUUCAAUGCUCUGAUCAUCUCUGAUUCACGAUUCUUAUUGGACUUGUAGUUCCCGAAGGGUUUUCACCAUCAAGGCUCUCUCAUUUUGUUCUUUCUCCCAACUUACUGCCUCCUUAUGGUGCCUGUGUAGGUUUUCACCGAUAAGACUCUCUCAUUUUGUUCUUUUCUUCCCUUUUCCUCUCGUUGUGCAGAUGACAAGACAUUAACCAUGAUAUAAAUAUCAUAUACUCCUGGGAUGGCUAACUCGGCACUCUUAAAGAUUAUCUGGGAGGUCUUUUUUGGACUGUAAUGAGGUUUUUGGACCAGGUUAGAAAGAGAGGAUAUCAUAAAGUCUCAAAAUAACUAAGACAACAUGGUUAAUUUAUUUACAACUUUUGGAAUCCAUUUUAAAACUUUGCCCCAAUUUCUAAAACAAGAGAAUCUUAUUCUCUCUUUUUUUUGUUUUUUUUUUAGAUGGAAUUUCUAAGACAAAAUGCCCCACUCUUGACUUCGUGGGACUAUGAAAUAUUUUAUUUAAAGUGACCGAACCGUAAGGCUGCCUAUGUAUCUUGUUGUAACAAGAAUUAGGUUGAACGUAGUUCACAUGAAUACUUUUUGUUACUGCUAUUUUUUUUUCUUCUUUUUUCUUCUUUUUAUCUUUUUUUCCUUUUUCUCUUUUUUUGGGACUUCUUUUUUUUCUUUAUCUCAUUCCCUUUUCUUAUCUUUUUUUCUUUAUUUUCUUUCGGGAUGAACUUCUAAAAAACCUUAUGGGCACAUGGAUUUUUUUUAGUGACUCUAACUUUAUUCCAAAAUAGGGGAGAUCAAAGAAAUCAGCACUGGCUCAAAAGGGUAUCCAAGGGUAUAAAGUGUUUGGGAGCUUAAGAUGGCCUCCCAAUCUUUGAAAAUGCCAAGUACAACACAUGCAACUUGAGGAUGAAAAAUAAAGAUCAUGCACAAUAUUUCUUUUGUAACUUCGACAUUGAUAUCACUGAUAUGCCUUCCAUUCUCUUUAGUGCCUUGUCAAGUACAGAACUCUCGUUGGGUGAUUUUUUCUUCACAAUGGAUACCCUCUGUCAGUUUGGGACAAACUCUCUUGGCUUUACCUUGUAACUUGAGAUGCACUUGAACUCAAAGUUGCUUGCUUCAAAUUUUUUGGGACGCACUCUCUUGUAACAAAUUCUUGUCGUCCUAUAAACUUCCCAAACUAUCUGGCCCAGUUUCACACAAUUUGGGCUUUAAAUGACCUCAAAUGUCCAAAUCUUUACUUAUUUCCCUCAAAUAUCCCUGUCAUCUUCAAACCUUAUUUCAUGAUUAGACUAACGUUUAAGACCUAAAUGAGAAUUCCACAUGCAUGUCAUGCCACUUGAGUCAUCAUGAAAAGAACUAUAAAAGGAAAAAAGAACUAAACAAAAACUAACUAGAAAUAAUAGAAAAUAGGAGAUUGCUAAACAGACGGUGAAAGGGUUCGAACAACAAAACAAGCAAAAUAAACUGGGGUUACAAUACUGGAACAAACCUAGAUAGCACUAAACGAGGUAAUAAGACAAGUUGGGCUAGGAAAAAUAAAAGGAUAGAAGGGUUUUAGUCACAAGACAAUAUCCGAAUUACAACCCUGAAAUAACCCGGAUAACGGAAACGCCGACAAAAUAAACUACCAAGACCCUUCAUGGCUAACCAAGAAAGGAGUGUUUUUUCAAUUACCAAGCUCGACAUAUUAGCCACUAAUUCGCACAUCGACAUUACUAGGACCUUCACAAGUCUCCAUCACAUUGACCUUAGCAAAUUUCUUUUGGGUCCUCUUUGACGACUCAUUCUUGAGAGCAACUUCUGGAACCGAGACUGAUAGCGCUGCAAAUUUUACGGCGAGUGGCCCUUCAAGGGAUUCAGAAGAGUUAUCAUAUUCCUUUUCAACACAAAUCAUACCCACCAUAUGUGUCUCAUUAUGAAUAGGCAAUGGACUUUGGCUAGUGACUGCUGCAUCUAGAUUUUGCACGAUAAUGUCACCUGUAUCAACAAGCUUUUAGACUGCUCUUUUUAGAUUCCAACACUUUUCUAUGUUGUGCCCCGGGGCAUUAGAUCAAUAUGCACACCUUUGAGAAUAAUCAAAAUUCUUUGGAAGGAGGUUCGACAUUUUUAUCUGAAUCGACUUCAACAUGUCCAAUUGCCUCAAUCUUUGGAACAAACUGGCAUAUGAUUAUCCAAUAGGAGUGAAAGACUUUUCUUUUUGUUGCUGCCUUUUCAUUUUGUACUCUGGCCUCUGUUGGAACCUCUUACGGGUAGGUGGUUGAUAUGCUUGUAGAGGUGGGUAAGACAUUUGUGGAGACGGUGCUAGCCAUUAAGGGUUUUAUGGAUAUGGAGCAUAUGGCGGUGCAUUGUGGAUAGAGUACUGGGAAGGUGAGGUAUGACUUUGGGGAUUUUAUGGAGGAAAGUUAGCAUUGGGGAGGAUUAUCUAGAGUACGAGGAUAUUCAUGGGGUCGUUAUUGAGGCUGAAAGCGUUGAACAGGAAUGCCCACUAGAUCCUAUAGUUGGCAGGGCUUUUCUAUUUCUCUUCCUUCCCCCCAAACGUACUGAGAUGUUUGGAAUGUCUUCCGUAGUAUAUUUCAAUGCACAAUAGCUCAUGAUUUUUCCUGACUUGAUCCCUUCUUCCACCAUCUCCCCCAUUUUUACCACAUCAUUGAAAGACUUACCUAAAGCUGGGAUUAAAUAACUGAAAUAGGCAGGUCCCUGGGCUUGUAGGAAAAGCUCAACCAUUUCUUCUUCUUCAAUUGGGGGACUGACCCGAGCACCUUGUUCCCUCUAUCUGAGCCCAAACUCUAUAAAACUUUCCUUGGGUUUCUUUUCCAUCUUAGAUAGUGAGGAGUGGUCUGGGAUAAUGUCUAGAUUGUACUGAAAUUGUCGAACAAAAUCUUGAGCCAUGUCAUCCUAUGCACGCCACUUACUGACAUCUUGAAGAGUACACCAUUCCAAGGCUUCCCCAGUCAAGCUCUCACUUUAAUACGCCACCAAGAACUCAUCUUUACCGCCAACACUUCUCAUUUCACUGCAAUAACCCCUCAGAUGGGCUGCUGGAUCUCCAUGCCCAUCAUAUAAGUUACACUUUGGCAUUUUAAACCCCGUGGGAGGAUAAACAUCAUGGAACAUACACAAGUUAUUGUAAGAUAUGUUAUUCUGAUUUCCCAUCCCUUGCAUGUUCUUUAAGGAUUGUUCUAUACCUUUCAUCUUCCUGAAUAUCUCAUCUCGCCCUUCUUUUCCUGUGAACUUUUCAUUUUCAAAAUGAGGCUCAUUCUGAGAGAUAUAAUUAUAAGUGUCUAGGACCUGGUGAGCCAACUCUGGGGGUAGUAUUGGGUAUCAAGAGGUUUGAACUGGUGUUCACUGUUGGAUCUAUGAAAGAAAGGUUGUUGAGAAGUUGUGAUCGUGGGGAUAGUGGAUAUGGCAGGAGGGCAACUUUUGGGAAAAGUAGUUGGAGGAUGAGUGAUGGAGCUACUAGGGAGGUUGGGAAAGUUGUGAUAAGCGGAAAAAUCUGGAGAGUAUGGUUGAUCAUCUGGCACUAUGACUGGAGUUUGGGUAAGGGUAGUAUCUAGGAAGCUAGGUGGUGGCAGGGGUGGUGCCUUCCCAGCCAUCCAAGCCUAAUACUUGUCCGCCAUGUGUUGUCUUAACAUCCUUACCUCUUCAACCAACCUAGUAUCUUGUUCAACCAAUUGCUUUUGGGCAUCAUUAUCAACCAACCCAAUUCUGUUGUCGUCUGCUAUUGUCGUUCGACUUUAUGUUGUAGGGAAGAGUUACCAGUUGAAGAACCACAAACCAACCACCCUUCUCAUAUAAUGAAGAUAACAAAGAGGAACAAAAUGAGGUCAUCAUGUUAGCAUUAGGGCAUUUAACGACAAAUAGUAUCAUAUUAUAUGCAAUGCACCUAGUCACAAUUAUAAGUUCUAAAACGACUUCGAAGGUACGAAGGUCAUAUGGCAUUAUCCCAAUUUCACUUUUCUUGCCCCGUUUCCUUCUUCAUUUUCCUUUCUAGUACCCCUUGGCUUAUUAUUUUCUUUCCUCUCGUUUUCUUUCUGAUUAUCACUCUUUCCUUUCCUCUCAUUCUUCACAUCCCACAAUUUUUUUUUUUUAAAUUAAAUGAUUCCAUCGAACCCUAUGUAGGUUGCCUACGUAUCAUGUCCCUCAUGACUCAGAUCAAGCAUAGUUCUGGAAAUGUAAUGGACAAAAUAAACUAGAAAUAAAAAUCUUUUUGGAUUUUUUAUUUAUAACUUUUUUUAGUUUUCAAAUACAUAAUAGGAAGUAUGAUAACAAAAGAUUCGACAAACCCAACUAAAUUAUGACAAACUGACACCAGAUAAAAGACUCAAUACUAUUGGAAAAUACUAGAAAGUAAAAGAUAACAUGAAUGACAGACUCAAAACAUAAAAAGUCGCCUCAAACAAGCUCCUUAAUGCGACGGUCCUGACUGGAAUGAUCUUGGGGUAUCUAUCAUGCUCGAGCUUUGGUAAAUGAAUCCAUACCUGAAUGAAAAAAAUAAUACCAAAUAUAUUAGUGACUCGAGACACUAUGUGAGACCACAACACCUGCUAUUGGACACAUGCAAGACAUAAUUGGGCUAUUUUUGUAAAAUAACCUACAUGGCCAAGGGUGGCUAUUAGUGCAAACUCAACAAAGGUGACCUCAAAGACAUGGAAGCCUCACUAAGGCUUAUAUGGCUUCAAACUCCCAAUAAUUAUGGCCCUAAUAGUUACUUCGCAAAAAUGACCUAUUUUGCAAAAAUGGCCGAUAAGGCCAAAUGCGGCUAGAGAUGCAAAUUUAACAAGGAUGGGUCUUAAAGUAAUAUUACACCUAGUUGUGGACUCAAGAUUCUAAGACAUGGGUCACUGAACCAUUUCCGCAAAAAUGACCCCAUUUUGUAAGCAUGGUCUAUGUGGCCAAAAAGUGGCUAGACAUGCAAACUCAAUAGGAAUGGAUCUUAAAAUUGAGAGGACGCCUUGUUGUGGACUUAGGACUCUAAGACAUGGGAUAACAAGUCACUUUGAUAAAAUAACCCUAUUUUGCAAAAUAACUAAUUUGGCCAAAUGUGGCUAGACAUGCAAGAAUUGGCUACAACCCCAAAAGCCAAGAACCUAAGACUCACUAGGAAGACCGGACCCUAUGUGGGUUGCCUACGUAUCCCGCCCCGAAAUAUGAGAAUCAGGUAUGCGUAGUUCGGAAAGAUUGGAUAUGGAGAGAAUUUAAAAAAAACGCAGAUUUGAAGAAAACAUAUUUUUUUGUCUUUUUUUUUUUUAAAUGAUGAAACAUGUAAAAUCUUUUGGAUUUUCUUUUUCUCUUUUUUUUUUUAAUUUUUUUUUUGGAAAAUGAUGGGAAAGUGCAAAAUCUUUUUGGAUUUUUUAUUUUCAUUUUUUUUGGUCUUUUCUUGAAAAAGUUGUGAAAGAAAAAUAUAACUGGCUCUACUUUCUUCAUCUUUAUACUUCACCCUCUUUUCUUUCUCAUUUACCCUCAACUAUUAUUGGUCCGUCAAAUGAACCCUUUACCCUUAAAGAAUGCAGCAUGUAGCACAUAGGGAUGAUUAAAUUUCUUUUAGAGACAUGGGCCCGUUUUGACAUAAUUUAGAUAGGCCUCAUAUAAAGGAACACAGUGCCUAGGACUGAGCCCUGCUAAGUGUAAAUGACAUGAUGCAAAUAAGCAUGACCUAAAGGCUGACCUAUGUUUGGGGUUAACUAGACAAGACAAUCUGGGGCGACACGUGGUCGAUAGCGGCUGCUCUAGCUGUCCGCCCACUCCACGCUCCUACGCCACCCCUAAAGACACAGGUGACUCACAAAAAGGCUGUGUACGCUCAAACGUUCUCUGGAAGACUUAUUGCUGAAAGAAGACCCAUCGUUAUGCAAAUGAUGACAGUUAUAAAGCGGUAACCACAUAAGGAAAAGCGAUAAACAAAUAAACAACAAAACGGAAAAUGAGACAAACAAACCAACUAAACAAAGUAAAUAAAGAAAACAAACACCUCAACCGAAUAUUCUAAAAGCCAACAAGAUCAAGUAUCAGCUCGAACCUACAACUCCCAAGCAGAGUCGCCAAAGCUGUCACACCCUUUUUUUUUACCUCAAUAACCCUUUUUAAAAAUGCAUAAAUGUGUUUUUUGAAGCUCAAAAGGGUUUUCCAAUUAGAAAGUGACAAAAAUUUAUUUUCAAAAGGAUUUUUCAGAGUCACCACCUGACAUUUGGUUUUGGUGUGCCAGGUCACCUGCUUUUUUUUAAUAACAAAUUCCCUUCAAAACACAUUCGACUCGUAAACUAGUUUGCACCAAAGAUUCAAGGUAAGGGGGUUCAUUUGAUUCGGGGAGAAGGUGCUAGGCAUUUCCCGAGUCCCGUAACUAUUACGGUUGCGUAUAUGAUCAAGUUGGCCUUUAACAUAUUCAAUUUGAGGUAAAAAAAUAACACAUAAAAGAAAAUAAACACAAAAGAGGCUCGAGGUCGUCCCCACCUAAUAAAAGAAAAUAUAUAAAGAAAAGUAAAAUCCUAUCCUAAAUACUAAUGUAUACUAUACUUUUUCAUGAGGUUCGUCACAACCUCCAAAUACAUGAUACUACGGAGCAUACCCCGGAUAAAAAUAUAUACAAUGUCUACGGGGCAUUCCCCUGAAUAUAAACUAAAGGGAAUGACCUAUUACCUCGGCAAAAUAAAAUAAGCGGCCUGCAGUUUGUCUAUCCAAGUGUGAUCGACCUAAACAUGCUACUAGUGGUCAAUAAAAACUAGCAAUAACGAAACAGAAAUAUUAUCACGUCACAUUAACCCAACUCUAUUUCCUUUCAAUUUCAAAUCCCACAGCUCCUUUUAUUCAACUUAACUCAUUAGUUCACUCUUUCAUUUUAUUGAUUCAUGAAACAAUACAAAUUAAAUCACAUUAAUUAAGAUAAGCCCCAAAUUUUCGAUAAUGGCACAUACAUAGAACUUCAUAUUACUUCAAAAAGAUAACAUCAUCAGAAACAUAUCAACAAAAAAAUCACAUAAUAAAAUUAAGGGAUCCAAGGGAAGAAAAAAAGUAUUGGACCUUUAAACUCAAUUGUUUGGUAGCACAAGACUGAAAAGCGAGCGACGAAAGCUAGACUGAACCUUAACUGAACCAGGAACACUAUUGACCAAGAGCCGCAAAGGGGACACCUCAAAAAAUCGAAAAUCGAACUUGACUCAGAUUCGGACAGCAAUAACUUUGAAAUCGUUGAACUCUUGAUCCGAAAUGGUGUUGUAAAUUGGUUUUGUGACUGGUUUUGAUAUGUCCAUGGAUGGCAAAGCUUAGAGGUUCAUGGUGCUUAAAGAAAACAAUUGAGUCACUGGGCAGCAGAAGAUGAUCGGGGUCGUGGAGGCGGCUCGAGAUGGGAGGAGUUGGUCGGCGGCUCUUUUACCAGCGAGUUUUUGGCGGGGGAAGGAAGACUGGUGGCGGCUCUAGGUCAUGGGGGGAUUAGGGAAUGUGCUGAAGAAGAAGAAGGGUUUGAAAGGUCUCCUGAAAAAGAAGAUAAGGUC
rnacentral:lncRNA from 1 species